GUAUGCUCAGUAGCGGCGAGUGAGCGGCAAGAGCUCAGAUUUGAAAUCGCAGCACCAUGCUGCGAGUUGUAGAUUGCAGGUGGGAGAGUCUGCGUAGGCCGGUGUCGAAGUCCCUUGGAACAGGGCGCCACUGAGGGUGAGAGCCCCGUGCGAUGCCACGCUCUACGUUUUGUACUCCCCUCUGACGAGUCGAGUUGUUUGGGAAAUG
rnacentral:rRNA from 1 species